AACGAACGCUGGCGGCAGGCUUAACACAUGCAAGUCGAGCGCCCCGCCAGGGGAGCGGCAGACGGGUGAGUAACGCGUGGGGACGUACCUUUUGGUUCGGAACAACUCCGGGAAACUGGAGCUAAUACCGGAUAAGCCCUAACGGGGAAAGAUUUAUCGCCGAAAGAUCGGCCCGCGUCUGAUUAGCUAGUUGGUGAGGUAACGGCUCACCAGGGCGACGAUCAGUAGCUGGUCUGAGAGGAUGAUCAGCCACACUGGGACUGAGACACGGCCCAGAAUCCUACGGGAGGCAGCAGUGGGGAAUAUUGGACAAUGGGCGCAAGUCUGAUCCAGCCAUGCCGCGUGAGUGAUGAAGGCCUUAGGGUUGUAAAGCUCUUUUGUCCGGGAAGAUAAUGACUGUACCGGAAGAAUAAGCCCCGGCUAACUUCGUG
rnacentral:rRNA from 1 species